UACGAAGGGGGCUAGCGUUGCUCGGAAUCACUGGGCGUAAAGCGCACGUAGGCGGAUUGCUAAGUCAGGGGUGAAAUCCUGGAGCUCAACUCCAGAACUGCCUUUGAUACUGGCAGGCUUGAAUCCGGGAGAGGGAUGUGGAAUUCCAGGUGUAGCGGUGAAAUGCGUAGAUAUCUGGAGGAACACCGGUGGCGAAGGCGGCAUCCUGGACCGGUAUUGACGCUGAGGCGCGAAAGCUAGGGGAGCAAACGGG
rnacentral:rRNA from 1 species